rnacentral:lncRNA from 1 species
UUGUGAUUUUAACUCACUAAUGAUAACUUGACCCGAUUUCAACUGAUUUCUCUUGGUUCAAGGCUCCCCUCCAAUGAGAGCUUCCAAUGAAAAACCCGAGUACAGCAAGCAUUCUCAGCUUCAACCAAACCAGCCAUCUCCAUGUGCCAAACCUGGUGUCAGUGCUGUGGAGCUGCUUUACAGAACUGGAUAUGCUACAUAGGACCCAAGAAUUCACAUACCUGGAAGGCAGCAAGUCAUGGGUAACAGUCAGGAGUACUGGGGAUUUUCAUCAGCCAGACAGCAUAUGCCAUGUCUUAAGUGACCAGGCCUCCCCAUCCCCAGGUCAUUAUGGCUUCCAGGUGGGUGAACCCUGAGUAUUGCCUUAACUCCAGGAUACGAGGAAGUACCUAAAAAUCAGGUUGUUAUAAAGUGAAAUUUGGAGGUGCAGAAAAGAUGAUGGAGUAGGAGGAUUCUGAGUUCACUUCAUCUCACAGACUCACCAAAGCAACAACUACAUAUACUUUAACAAAUUCUGAAAACAACCUGAAGCCUAGAAGAACACAUUUAACACAAUUAGUUGUAGAGAGAAGGCCACAUUAGGAGGGGCAAAAACAUGACUGAGAGCCAACUCCCUGAGAGACUAACCACAAAUGGGAGGUAUAGCACAAGCAUAAAGAAUUGAGAGGAUCAGACCCCACACCAGGUAUCCCCAGCCCUGGGGACCCACAAUGGAAACAUGAGUCCCACACCAUUUGGUUUUGAAGGUCAGCAGGGCUUAACUACAGAAGAGUCAGAGAGGGCGAUAAGAAACUGACACUCUGCCCUUAAAAAGCCAC